rnacentral:rRNA from 1 species
CCUACGGGAGGCAGCAGUGGGGGAUAUUGGACAAUGGGCGGAACCCUGAACCAGCGACGCCGCGUGAGUGAAGAAGUAUCUCGGUAUGUUAAGCUCUUUCUGCAGGGAAGAAGAAAUGACGGUGCCUGCGUAAGAAGCCCCGGCUAACUACGUGACAGCAGCCGAGGUCAUACGUAGGGGGCAAGCGUUAUCCGGAAUUAAUGGGUGUAAAGGGAGCGUAGACGGUGAUGUAAGUCUGGAGUGCAAGGCGGGGGCCCAACCCCCGAACUGCUCUGGAAACUAGGUGACUGGAGUGCAGGAGAGGUGAGCGGAAUGCCUAGUGUAGCGGUGAAAUGCGUAGAUAUUAGGCGGAACACCAGUUGCGAAGGCGGCUCACUGGACUGUAACUGACGUUGAGGCUCGAAAGCGUGGGGAGCAAACAGGAUUAGAUACCCGUGUAGUC